rnacentral:pre_miRNA from 1 species
CUCAUUUUUGGCCUUCUCUUCCCAGUUCUUCCCAGAGCAGGGAAAAGCUGGGUUGAGAGGGCAAAAAACAAAACAC